rnacentral:rRNA from 1 species
GACGAACGCUGGCGGCGUGCCCAAUACAUGCAAGUAGAACGCACAGUUUAUACCGUAGCUUGCUACACCAUAGACUGUGAGUUGCGAACGGGUGAGUAACGCGUAGGUAACCUGCCUGGUAGCGGGGGAUAACUAUUGGAAACGAUAGCUAAUACCGCAUCAUAUUGAUUAUUGCAUGAUAAUUGAUUGAAAGAUGCUAUUUCAUCACUACCAGAUGGACCUGCGUUGUAUUAGCUAGUAGGUGAGGUAACGGCUCACCUAGGCGACGAUACAUAGCCGACCUGAGAGGGUGAUCGGCCACACUGGGACUGAGACACGGCCCAGAAUCCUACGGGAGGCAGCAGUAGGGAAGCUUCGGCAAUGGACGAAAGUCUGACCGAGCAACGCCGCGUGAGUGAAGAAGGUUGUCGGAUCGUAAAGCUCUGUUGUAAGAGAAGAACGGGUGUGAGAGUGGAAAGUUCACACUGUGACGGUAGCUGACCAGAAAGGGACGGCUAACUACGUG